rnacentral:rRNA from 1 species
GUGCCAGCAGCCGCGUAAUUCCAGCUCCAAUAGCGUAUAUUAAAGUUGUUGCAGUUAAAAAGCUCGUAGUUGAAACUUGGGCCUGGCUGGCGGGUCCGCCUCACCGCGUGCACUCGUCCGGCCGGGCCUUCCUUCUGAAGAACCUCAUGCCCUUCACUGGGCGUGAUGGGGAAUCAGGACUUUUACUUUGAAAAAAUUAGAGUGUUCAAAGCAGGCCUUUGCUCGAAUACGUUAGCAUGGAAUAAUAAAAUAGGGCGUGCGUUUCUAUUUUGUUGGUUUCUAGAGACGCCGCAAUGAUUAACAGGAACAGUCGGGGGCAUCAGUAUUCAGUUGUCAGAGGUGAAAUUCUUGGAUUUACUGAAGACUAACUACUGCGAAAGCUUUUGCCAAGGAUGUUUUCAUUAAUCAGUGAACGAAAGUUAGGGGAUCGAAGACGAUCAGAUACCGUCGUAGUCUUAACCGUAAACUAUGCCGACUAGGGAUCGGGCGAUGUUCUUUUUCUGACUCGCUCGGCACCUUACGAGAAAUCAAAGUUUUUGGGGUUCUGGGGGGAUUAUGGGUCGCAAGGCUGAAACUUAAAGAAAUUGACGGAAGGUCACCACCAGGCGUGGAGCCUGCGGCUUAAUUUGACUCAACACGGGGAAACUCACCAGGUCCAGAUGAAAUAAGGAUUGACAGAUUGAGAGCUCUUUUCUUGAUUUUUCAGGUGGUGGUGCAUGGCCGUUCUUAGUUCGUGGGUGACUUGUCUGCUUAAUUGCGAUAACGAGCGAGACCUUACUCUGCUAAAUAGCCAGGCUAACUUUGCUGGUCGCGGCUUCUUAGAGAGACUUAUCAACUCAAGUUGAUGGAAGUUGAGGCAAUAAACAGGUCUUGUGGAUG